rnacentral:rRNA from 1 species
GUGUCAGCAGCCGCGGUAAGACGGACCACCCAAACGUUAUUCGGAAUCACUGGGCUUAAAGCGUGCGUAGGCGGCCCUGUAAGUUAGGUGUGAAAUCCCACAGCUCAACUGUGGAACUGCGCUUAAAACUACAGGGCUAGAGGGAUAUAGAGGUGAGCAGAACAGAUGGUGGAGCGGUGAAAUGCGUUGAUAUCAUCUGGAAUACCGGAGGCGAAGGCGGCUCACUGGGUAUCUUCUGACGCUGAGGUACGAAAGCUAGGGUAGCGAACGGGAUUAGAAACCCGCGUAGUCC